AGUGGAUGGGGAGCAACCUAGUUGUGCGUGUGUAAAGGUAGUGCCAAGAAAAGCGGUGAUCAUGAUGAAAAUCAAUUCCCGGUACCCGAAACCGACACAGGUGGGCAAGUAGAGAAUACUAAGGGGCGCGAGGUAACUCUCUCCAAGGAACUCGGCAAAAUGACCCCGUAACUUAGGGAGAAGGGGUGCCACCGAGAGGUGGUCGCAGUGAAGAGGCCCAGGCGACUGUUUAGCAAAAACAUAGGUCUCUGCAAACUCGAAAGAGGAGGUAUAGGGGCUGACGCCUGCCCAGUGCCGGAAGGUUGAAGAAGUUGGUCAGUCUUAGGAUGAAGCUAGCGACUGAAGCCCCGGUGAACGGCGGCCGUAACUAUAACGGUCCUAAGGUAGCGAAAUUCCUUGUCGGGUAAGUUCCGACCCGCACGAAAGGCGUAACGAUCUGGGCGCUGUCUCGGAGAGAGGCUCGGCGAAAUAGGAUUGUCUGUGAAGAUACGGACUACCUGCAUUUGGACAGAAAGACCCUAUGAAGCCUUACUAUAGCUUGGAAUUGUGUUCGGGCUUCCUGUGCGCAGGAUAGGUGGGAGGCGUAGAAGGUAUUCUUGUGGGGAUACUGGAGCCAACGGUGAGAUACCACUCUCAGGAGGCUAGAAUUCUAACUUAAUUAAGGACAGUUUCAGGUGGGUAGUUUGACUGGGGCGGUCGCCUCCAAAAAGGUAACGGAGGCGUACAAAGGUUCCCUCAGACUGGUUGGAAAUCAGUCGAAGAGUGCAAAGGCAGAAGGGAGCUUGACUGCGAGAAGUACAGUUCGAGCAGGGUGGAAACACGGUCUUAGUGAUCCGACGGUGCUGUGUGGAAGGGCCGUCGCUCAACGGAUAAAAGUUACUCUAGGAUAACAGGCUGAUCUCCCCCAAGAGUUCACAUCGACGGGGAGGUUUGGCACCUCGAUGUCGGCUCAUCGCAACCUGGGGCGGAAGUACGUCCCAAGGGUUGGGCUGUUCGCCCAUUAAAGCGGUACGUGAGCUGGGUUCAGAACGUCGUGAGACAGUUCGGUCCAUAUCCGAUGUAGGCGUGAGAAUAUUGAGAGGAGCCUUCCUUAGUACGAGAGGACCGGGAAGGACGCACCGCUGGUGUACCUGUUAUGAUGCCAAUUGUAAACGCAGGGUAGCCAAGUGCGGAGAGGAUAACCGCUGAAAGCAUCUAAGUGGGAAGCCCACCUCAAGAUGAGUAUUCUGGUGUAAGGUCACGGGAAGACGACCCGUAAAUAGGCACGAGGUGGAAGUGCAGAGAUGUAUGAAGCCGAAGUGUACUAAUAGACCGUC
rnacentral:rRNA from 1 species